CCUACGGGUGGCUGCAGUGGGGAAUAUUGGACAAUGGGCGCAAGCCUGAUCCAGCAAUGCCGCGUGUGUGAAGAAGGCCUUCGGGUUGUAAAGCACUUUUAUCAGGAACGAAAAGCGACGGACUAAUACUCUGUCGUGCUGACGGUACCUGAGGAAUAAGCACCGGCUAACUUCGUGCCAGCAGCCGCGGUAAUACGAAGGGUGCAAGCGUUAAUCGGAAUUACUGGGCGUAAAGCGUGCGUAGAUGGUGCGUUAAGUCGGAUGUGAAAGCCCCG
rnacentral:rRNA from 1 species